UUUUUCUUGGUGCCAAAGUAGGG
rnacentral:piRNA from 1 species